GUAGCCAAAUGCCUCGUCAUCUAAUUAGUGACGCGCAUGAAUGGAUUAACGAGAUUCCCACUGUCCCUACCUACUAUCUAGCGAAACUACAGCCAAGGGAACGGGCUUGGGCCUUGACCAGCGGGGAAAGAAGACCCUGUUGAGCUUGACUUUAGUCUGCCGUUGUUAAGAGACAUGAGAGGUGUAGGAUAGGCGGGAGGCGUCCGAUUGGGGCCGAGAGGUUCCGCGGGCGCCGCCGGUGAAAUACCGCCACUCUCACUGUUUCUUUACUUACACGGUAGAGCGGAGAACGGGCCUCACGGCUCGGUCUUUGUGGCGUUAACGCGGUCGCCCCUGCGCGACCGCGGAUUCGCUCCGUGGACAGCGGCAGGUCGGCAGUUCGACUGGGGCGGUACAACUGUCAAACGGUAACACAGUUGUCCUAUGGUCGGCUCAGCGAGGACAGAAACCUCGCGUGGAGCAAAAGGGCUAAUGCCGGCUUGAUCUUGAUUUUCAGUACGAAUACAGACCGCGAAAGCGGGGCCCCUCGAUCCUUUUGCUUUUACGAGUUUUAAGCAAGAGGUGUCAGAAUAGUUACCACAGGGAUAAUUGGCUUGUGGUCGCCAAGCGUUCAUAGCGACGUGACUUUUUGAUCCUUCGAUGUCGGCUCUUCCUAUCAUUGUG
rnacentral:rRNA from 1 species